GCUGCGAAACGUCUGCCAGGACGUUUUCAUUGAUCAAGAACGAAAGUAAGGGGAUCGAAGACGAUCAGAUACCGUCGUAGUCUUUACUAUAAACUAUGAGGACUGGGGAUCGGGCGGGAAUCAGAAUUGGCCCGCCCGGCACCCUUCGGGAAACCAAAGUGUUUGCUUUCUGGGGGGAGUAUGGUCGCAAGGCUGAAACUUAAAGGAAUUGACGGAAGGGCAUCACCGGGUGUGGAGCCUGCGGCUUAAUUUGACUCAACACGGGGAAACUUACCAGGUCAGGACAUAGUGAGGAUUGACAGAUUGAGAGCUCUUUCUUGAUUCUAUGGUUGGUGGUGCAUGGCCGUUCUUAGUUGGUGGAGUGAUCUGUCUGGUUAAUUCCGUUAACGAGCGAGACCUGGGCGUGCUAGCUAGGCGCGGUUACUAAUUUUGGUAGCGAGGCUUGCCUUCCUAGACGGACUGCGGGCGUCUAGCCCGCGGAAGCUCCAGGCAAUAACAGGUCUGAGAUGCCCUUAGAUGUUCUGGGCCGCACGCGUGCUACACUGAGCGGGCCAACGGGUGAGGAUGUGCGAAAGCAUUUCCCAAUCUCUAAAUCCGCUCGUGCUGGGGAUCGAGGCUUGCAAUUGUCCCUCUUGAACGAGGAAUACCUUGUAAGCACGGGUCAUCAUCCCGUGCUGAAUACGUCCCUGCCCUUUGUACACACCGCCCGUCGCUCCUACCGAUUGAGUGGUCCGGUGAGGCCUUGGGAGGGCUAGGUGGACUGUGUUUUACAUGGACUGCUUGGCCCGAACCUGGUCAAACCUUAUCACUUAGAGGAAGGAGAAGU
rnacentral:rRNA from 1 species